UGGAGGCUGGACAUCCGAGAUCAAGGUGUCGGCAGGGUUGGUUUCUUCUGAGGCCUCUCUCCUUGGCUUGUAGACGGCUGUCUUCCCUUGUGUCUUCACAUGGUCUUCCCUCUGUACCUAUCUAUGUCCUAAUCUUUUCUUAGAAGGACAUCAGUCAUACUGGAUUAGAGCCCACCCUCAUGACCUCGUUUUAACUUAGUUACCUCUUUAAAGACCCUACCUCCAAAUACAGUCACAUUCUGAGGUCCUGGGGGUUAGGGCUUCAACAUAUGAAUUUUGGGAUGACACAAUUCAACCCAUAACAGCAGCUUAUUCUGGGUCAUCUGUGUGUGUUCAUAUGUCCCUAAAGAGGUUUAAUCAGUGAAUAACAUGUUGUGUCCCUGAUGGCAUUAUUCUUCCUAUUUUUUGCUGUCAUAAUACACUGGCUUCCUCAAUGCAAUUAACCUUUUUAUUUUGAAGAGAGAAAGAAAAACAUUUUAAAGUACAGUCCAAGGGACCUUGAUCAUCUGGACAUUCCUUUAAACGUUGAGCUGGUCCACCAUAUUGAUGAGAUGAUACUGUGUUAAUUCAACCUGAGGAGCAAGAAGGGGCAAAUUCUAUGAACGCUUAGGCAAGAAACACUGACGCCUGAGGUUAGAAGUGCAAUAGAAUUUUUGAAAACCCGAAGGACUCCAGCUCUGUCAAAUAUCAGCAUUUUCCCAUAUUUCCCAUAGAGCAGGGCUCUGUGUAUGGUGGUUAAGGGUCCAGACUUCAAAGUGAUGCUCCCUGGAUGCAAUCCCUCUUCUACUACCUAAAUAAGUUCCUUGCUGUAGAGCUUUGGCCCCCUGGUACAUAGUUGUAUGUAUAUUCUUCGUUGUGGGUCCUUCUGGCUGUGGCACAUGGGACACCGCCUCAGCGUGGUUUGACGAGCCGUGCCAGUCCGCGCCCAGGAUUUGAACCAACGAAACACUGGGCCGCCUGCAGCCAAGGGCGCGAACUUAACCACUCAGCCACGGGACCAGCCCUGAUUGUUUCCAAUUUUUUUGCUGUUACAAGGAUUCAGUGAACAAUAUAGCACAAAUCUCCUUGUAUACUUGUUCCUGAGUUUCUCUGGACUAUAUAUCUAGAAGUUGUAUGGCCAAAUCAAAGGAAAUGAACCAUUUUUAUUGGGUAUCGCCAAAUUGCUCUCCAAAACAGUUGUUCUAACUUAAGUGUCAACCAGCGGCGUGUGUGAGAACUCCCAUGUGUUAAGACUCACCGAUACUUGGUAUUAUCCGACUUUUUAAUUUUUCCCAAUCUGAUUGGUAUGACAUAAUUUCUUGUUUUGAUUUGUCUAUUUCUAGUUUCUAAUUAAGUUAAACCUCUUU
rnacentral:lncRNA from 1 species